CCAAUUAAUUAUUCCCAUUUUCUUUUAGUAAUCCCCUUUUUUUUGUAAUUUGAGUAAUUUUAGUAACCAGAUGAGAUCAAAAACGAAACAGCCGACAUAUGAAAGCAGUACUUUGACAAGCUUUUAAACGGAGAUCAACAAAAUAAACAGACUACAACCGAGUACGAAACUGCAGAACCGCCGGAAGAAACUAUCAAAGCUAUCAAAACGCUCAAAAUUAACAAAGUUCGAGGAAAAGACCUUAAAUAUGGAGGAGAAGCCCUACAAAGACAACUACAUAGACUUAUUACCCUUAUAUGGGGUCAGGAGCACAUACAAGAUGAGUGUAACUAUAGAGGAGUAUUUUUAAUCAACACGGCAUAUAAGAUCCUUGCAAACAUACUUUUGUAACGCCUUCAACCGAUCGUGGAGUCAGGCUUGAUAGACUACCAGUGCGGAUCCGCCGAGUUCCGUCGGAUCAUGGAUCCGUGAAAAUUGAUCUACUGUCGACCAGAUAUUUACAAUAAGGCAAAUGUUAGAAAAAUGCAUUUAACAAAGUGAUUCAUUCACUGUUCAUCACCUUUGGGCAAACAUACGAUAGUAUUCUAAGAGUUAAGCUAUGGGACGCAAUGGUGGAGACGGGAAUUCCCAAAAAGCUAAUCAAUGUCUGCUAUGUUUUGUAAGCUAAAAGGGUUCUGAAAUCUUCCAGAUAUGAGGGUAUUUUUUUCAUUAUGUCUGUACCUACCUGUAUCAGUCCUGAUAUCUACCUGAUUAAAUUAUUUUAGAAACAGAU